rfam:Oryza meridionalis cultivar OR44 (W2112) chromosome 7, whole genome shotgun sequence.
AAUAAGUGCAGUUUUGCACUAUUUAUUUCCAACGUUUGACCGUUCGUCUUAUUUGAAUUUUUUUACUAUUUUUGUUGUUAUUAGAUGAUAAAACAUGAAUAAUACUUUUUGUGUAACUAUUUUUUAAAUUUUUUUUAUAAAUUUUUCAAAUAAGACGAACGAUCAAACGUUGGACACGGAUUUUCACGGCUGCACUUAUU